GUUCCUACGGGGCGCAGCAGUGGGGGAUAUUGCACAAUGGGGGGAACCCUGAUGCAGCGACGCCGCGUGGGUGAAGAAGUAUUUCGGUAUGUAAAGCCCUAUCGGCAGGGAAGAAAUUGGACGGUACCUGACUAAGAAGCCCUGGCUAACUACGUGCCAGCAGCCGCGGUAAUACGUAGGGAGCGAGCGUUAUCCGGAAUUAUUGGGUGUAAAGGGUGCGUAGACGGGAAAACAAGUUAGUUGUGAAAUCCCUCGGCUUAACUGAGGAACUGCAACUAAAACUAUUUUUCUU
rnacentral:rRNA from 1 species